CUCCUGCGCACUAAGGCUCCAGGAGGACACCCUGCCCGCCUGGCGAAAAUGGUCGCUGCACGCUUACCCCCAGUGACGUUAACGCUGAAGCAGUUCAUGAGAAGGCAACAAGUUCUCCUCCUGUACAGAAGGAUUUUGCAAGCCAUUCGGCAAGUUCCAAGUGAUUCUGAUCGCAAAUACCUGAAGGACUGGGCAAGGGAAGAAUUCAAAAAAAACAAAAGUGCCACAGAAGAGGAUACAAUCCGGAUGAUGAUUACUCAUGGAAAUAUGCAACUCAAGGAGUUAGAAAAAACACUUGCUUUAGCAAAAUCUUAAGUACUGGAUUAUUCUGAAGGAUUUUCAAAAUCUCCACAUGUUUUGUUGAAAUUAGGUUUAACAGUGGGCAACCCAAAGUCAAGUCAAACUGUUUACAUGUAUAUACAGCAUUUGGAAAAAAUACCAGAAGAUGGAGCAUGGUAGGUCUGCAAGAGAAAAAGAAAGCACAUCAGAACAAUUGCCUUAGCACUGAAAAACUUACUCUGUGUUUUAAAAAUGUUGCUGGAUGUGUCAGCAAUUUUUGUAAGAUGCAAAAGCCACUAUAAAAAAUGGCCAGUUAGCAUGUGAAAUAGCCCUCAACACAAUUAUCAGGAAAAUCAAAAGCACAAUGAGAUAUUACUUCAAAUCCACUGGAAUGGCUAUCAUUAAAAAGGUAAAUAAUAACAAAUGUGGUGAAGAUAGAGAGACAUUGGAACCCUGCUAGCGGGAAUAUAAAAUGGAACAGCCAGUUUGGAAAACAGACUAUCACUCCUCAGAAGGUUAACUAUAAAGUUACUGGGGCCAGCAAGUGGUGUGGUGGUUAAAGGCACUGGACUACCACAUGGCCAACCAUGGUUUGAGUCCCAGACUUGGCAGCUUGCUUUGUCUGUCUGUCUGUCUGUCUGUCUGUCUCUCUCUCUUUGUCUCUGGUCAAAUUAAAAAUAAAUAAAGUAAAAAAAAAAGUUACCAUAUAAUUUAGCAAUUCUCCUCUGAGGUCUGUAACCAAGAGAAUUGAAAAUGUGUCUGUAAAAGACUUGUACAUGAAUGUUCAUAGCAUUAGCAUUCGUAAAAGCCAAAAAAAUGGAAACAGUCCAAAUGCUCAUCAGCUGAUAAGUAGAUAAGUAUAUGGUAUAGUCAUACAAUAAAAUAUUAUUUGGCAUUAAAAAGGAAUGAAGGAUUGGGAUAUGCUACACAUGGCUGAAUAUUGAAAAUAUUAUUAAAUGAAAGAAACCAGUCACAAAAGAUUAUGUAUUAUGUGAUUCCAUUCACAUGACAUGUCCAGAAUAAACAGAAAGAUUAGUGGUUGUGGAUGGAAUGGAGAGUAAUGCCUCAUGUGUGGAGUUUCUUUUAAAAAUAUCCUAAAGUUAGAUUAUGGUGUUGGUUGCACAGCUCUGUGAAUAUGCUCAAAUCCACUGAAUUACACAUUUUAAAUAUAGUAAAGGAAUUAUAUUUUUAAUAAAAUGGGUUUAAAAAGCAUUAUGAGAUGUAGGACUGACCCCAGGACAUACCUUAGAUCUUUCUUAAAAAAUUCUCUAGCGUUACUUCUCAGAGUUGAUGAGGUUUGUUCUUUGGAUAGGUCAUGAUUUGAUAAGAGGACUCUCCAAAACAAUCACCACUGCGUAAUUUGGAAUAUGUUGGGAAGAUGAGAAACUUAUCGAAGCACUUAGCAAUGAGAAGAGGGAAAACUCUUCAGCAAUUCCGAAUGAAUCUUCUGCAGUUACUUCAACAUCCAUGUGGAAAGUAAAGAAAUCAUAGAAGGUCUUUAGUGCUGUAGGUUCUCCUCCAAUGACAGGAAAAAAUGGAGAGAAUUUGAAGAAUACAUCAGAGAUAAAUGUAUUACAAAGUUCAUUUCAGGACACUUGAAAAAGACAUUUAUAAGAUACAAUUAAGUUCAUCGAAUGUGUGAAAGUUUGUGGAAGAUGCUGAGAUUUGCAGUUCAAAACACACAAGUCCUGUGCUCAUCAAAGAAACAGAGCCAAGAAGCUAAUCUAAGAAUCUGACUAGCACUUAAAAAGUACAGAAUUUUGCAGAGUAAUAAAUGGUUAUCUAGUACUGCAGUGUAUGCCAGAGGAGAGGUAUAAACUGAUGGUGGCCAUGCUGAUAACUGCCAAAGGCCACUCCCAUCUCCGCAUAACUGAGCCCCCAAGACGAAAUCAUUCUGAAUACUGUUUCAUAGUGGUAAUCUCCCAAUGCAAAAUGCUUACAUGAGACAGUUUUCAGGCUUUUAUAUAGUUAUAAAUCAACCUACUGCAAAAUGAUCAGACAAACAGGAGAAGCAUUCGUAAACAGUUUUAGAACAGAGAACACUUUGGAAAUGUGUGUGGUUUGACUGAUACAUACUUAAAUAUAGGCUAUUGGGUUUUUCUUUCCUUUUUUUAAAAUUAAUUUUAUUUAUUCAUUCUAAUUUGACAGAGAGACACACAGAGAGAAAGAGAGAGAGCAGAAAUGAGAUAGCAAGGCACAAGGUCCAGGACUUGAACUGUGGUCUGCCAUGUGGGAGUGUCCAGCACCUUAACCACCACAUCACUUGCUGGUCCCUUUAUAGGCUAUUGUUAUUAAAUCCAAAAUCUUUUAAAAAAACUCCUUUUAUAAUGUAUUGAAGCCAAUGACUUUUGGUGAUGUUCUUCCUGAUAGUGGGAUACAUGAAGAACUUAAAUGAGUGUGUGUAUUAAUAGUUUCAGUUUGCAAGAAAUAAACAUCACAGACUCCAAAAACA